AUCCUUGUUGACCAGAAGGAAACCCUUCCGGUCAACGAGGUAGAUGUACCUCACUGAUUGGAAGGUUUUCCUUCUGGUGAACAAGGUACAUGUACCUCAUCAACCAGAAGGAAACCCUUCCGAUUGAUAAGGUACAUCUACCUCAUUGACCGGAAGGAAAACCUUCCAGUCAACCUGGCU
rnacentral:miRNA from 1 species